GUUGAAACACCGGCUCUCAUCCGAUCGCCGAAGUUAAGCAAUGUCGAUCCUGGUCAAUACCUGGAUGGGUGAUCGAUUAGGAAAAUAGCAGAUGUUGU